rnacentral:rRNA from 1 species
GUGGGGAAUAUUGCACAAUGGGGGAAACCCUGAUGCAGCGACGCCGCGUGGAGGAAGAAGGCCCUCGGGUUGUAAACUCCUGUCUUCGGGGACGAUAAUGACGGUACCCGAGGAGGAAGCCACGGCUAACUACGUGCCAGCAGCCGCGGUAAAACGUAGGUGGCAAGCGUUGUCCGGAAUUACUGGGUGUAAAGGGAGCGCAGGCGGAGCGGCAAGUUGGAGGUGAAACCCAUGGGCUCAACCCAUGAACUGCCUUCAAAACUGCCGGUCUUGAGUGGUGUAGAGGUAAGCGGAAUUCCCGGUGUAGCGGUGGAAUGCGUAGAUAUCGGGAGGAACACCAGUGGCGAAGGCGGCUUACUGGGCACUAACUGACGCUGAGGCUCGAAAGCAUGGGUAGCAAACAGGA